GCCUGGCAGGGACAAGGGAAUCUCCACGGAAGACGAGAGGGUCUGAGAGGAGGCGGCCUCGGAAACGCGGAGGCCCGGGAGCAGAGCAUUCCAAGAGAAAAAGGAGGAGAGGACCUUCGGAGGGAUGAGGCCGGGCGGUCAGAGGCUAAUGGAGACACGGCUUGAGGGUGAUGACGGGGGGACAGAGGAAGGAGGGCUCAGGAGGGCCCAGGUGAGGAGAAGCCUUGUGGUCUGGUGCAGCAUUUAACAGCUGCUGACAAACUGCAUGGGUUUGAAUCCAGAGCCCAGCACCUGAUAGUUAUGUGAUCCUGAGUAAGACAAGUAACGUCCAGAGAGAUACCAUAACUUGCCAAAGGCAUGACAGCUGAGACUGAGCCCGGGCUCUGCCAUCCUGAGCAUAUGAUGCUAGGCAAGUCACAUCACCUCUCUGUGCCUCAGUUUCCUCUCAACCAAAGACUAUCAUCUCUU